rnacentral:lncRNA from 1 species
UUGUUUUGCAGAGUGUUUUCCUUUUUUGCAGGUUAGAUUCCGUAGUCCGGGUUAGGAUCGGAUUCUAAUAGUGAAUUCGUAGCCCCGACAGGAGUCAGAUUCUAUUAGUGAAUCAACAGGUUCUGGAUCCAAGGCGAGGAUCGGAUCCUGAUAGUGGAUCUGUAGCUCUGGUCAGAAUCAGACUCUGAUAGUGAGUCGGUCUGCUUUGUCGCUUUGGCCUUAGUAGACCAGAGGUCAUUUUGACGCUUCGGCCUUAAUGAUCUCAAGGGGGAGAAUCCCAAGUUCUUCCUGACACUUCUGUCGCUCCGGCCAGAAGUCGCCAAACUCAGGGGGGAGUAUCACAAGCUCUUCCUGACACUUCUGUCGCUUUGGCCAGAAGUCGUCAAACUCGGGGGGGAGUAUCACAAACUCUUCCCGGCACUUCUGUCGCUUUGGCCAGAAGAUGUCAAACCUUGAGCACGAUAGAUCUGUCGCUUCGGCCAGAUCAAUCGAGGAGUUAUUGAGCGUGGGAAGGAGCGGCACAAGAAGCAGCCCCUCACGGCAAGGUUAGUAAGUCAAUAAUGAAUAUAUCCUUUAGACUGAUGUAGUUGUUUUGCAGGUUAUUUUUGUUUUGUAGGAACGAUCCUGUCGCUUUGGCCAGGAUCCACGCAUUCUGUCGCUUCGGCCAGAAUCAGACUCCAAACGAGUCGGUCCAUUUUGUCGCUAUGGCCUCAAUGGACCAAAGAAUUAUUUUGUCGCUUUGGCCUCAAUAAUUCUGCUAUCUUGUCGCUUUGGCCUUGAUAGACUUGGAGAUCAUUUUGUCGCUGUGGCCUUAAUGAUCUCGACCCACUUUGUCGCUUUGGCCUUAGUGGGGUAACCGUCGUUGCGGACGUAAAGUCGCUCUUGAUCAGGGUGGACUAUAAACAUGGGUUCUGAUAGUGAACCAGAUCCUGUCGCUUUGGCCAGGAUCCACGCAUUCUGUCGCUUGGGCCAGAAUCAGACUCUGAUAGUGAGUCGCUCCAUUUUGUCGCUUUGGCCUUAAUGGAUGGGGUUAUUUUGUCGCUUUGGCCUUAAUAACAUCCCUUCAUCUUGUCGCUUUGGCCUUGAUGAUAACACAGAAAGAGUCGCUCCUGAUCAGAGUCAGACUAUAAACACGUAGUUCUACUGGCCUGGAACUAGAUUCUAAUAGUGAAUCAACCCAUCUGAUAGUGCAUGGGUAACGGAUUCAUCGUGUCGCUGUGGCCACAUUGACUCGAUCCCAUCUUGUCGCUUUGGCCUUGAUGCGGAUCACCUUGCUUGGGGGGGGGAUACUGGCGGUACACGGGUGUUCAGCCAUACUCUCUUCAGGGGGGAGUACUGGUGAGACAUGCCUGAUUACGUCAGUCACUCCCAGCAACGCCUUUCAAACAAGGAAUAGGGUUCCGUCGCUAUAUGCCG